rnacentral:rRNA from 1 species
UCGAGAAUCAUUCGCAAUGGGCGAAAGCCUGACGAUGCGACGCCGUGUGUGUGAUGAAGGCCUUCGGGUCGUAAAGCACUUUCGCUUGGGAACAAGAAAGGUCGGAUAAUACCCGGCCAAUUUGAGGGUACCAGGUAAAGAAGCACCGGCUAACUACGUGCCAGCAGCUGCGGUAAUACGUAGGGUGCAAGCAUUAAUCGGAAUUAUUGGGCGUAUAGGGCGCGUAGGCGGAUCAGUAAGUCGGAUGUGAAAUCCCAGGGCUCAACCUUGGAACUGCAUCCGAAACUGCUAGUCUAGAGGGUAGGCGGAGAAAACGGAAUUCCACAAGUAGCGGUGAAAUGCGUAGAUAUGUGGAAGAACACCGGUGGCGAAGGCGGUUUUCUAGCUUAUUCCUGACGCUGAGGCGCGAAAGCAAGGGGAUCAAACAGGAUUAGAUACCCUUGUAGUCCCUGAGCGGGCUGGCAAGGCGCAU